GGGCGGGGCUUCGUAUUAAGGCGGGAGGGGAUUUCACCAUCGCGUCAUCGUGUCUAUUAAAGAUGGCGGCUUAAGGAAGAGCGCUUCAUACUCGCUCUCCUGUGACUUCUUCAUUUGCCGACGUUUUUUCUUCAAAAACAAAAAUCGAGCUUUUAAAUCCACUUUACGUCUAUGAGGCAGAGACACGUUGACAAUAUGACAAAACAAGCUUUGCCAUCCAAUUCUGCUCCUCCAACCCCAACCUUCGCCCUCAUCGGUCUGGAGCUGCGUCACCUCGGAGACCAGCUCUACUGGACAUACUGCCUGCUGAGAAUUCUGAAGAGGGAAUCCAACGGCACAUGACAGGAAAGUGCAUUUGUUGGCUGUACAUAAAAGAAAGCUACAAAAGGGCAAGAAAAAUAUAAAAGAGGCAGUUUUGAAAGGGGAUGUGAUUAUGAUGAACACCCUGAUGGAAAAGCUGGACGAGGUCAACUGGCCGAGUGUGCGCUGGAUGAGCUAAGAAGACCUUGGGUUGGAGCCUUCACCUCAAAUAUAGCGACUGUCUUAUCGAGGUGACCGCAGUGAAGACAAAUAAUUUUUUUCUGAAUGCCAAAUGUGUCUUGCAUGAUUUGGGGGGAAAAAGUCCUGGUUGUAUCUGUGGACUAUGAUUAAGGUGAGCCAAGAGAACAACAGGCCACCACAUUAGGUGCAUGUACCUAAUAAAAUGUGCCUUUUCAAAGACAA